rnacentral:rRNA from 1 species
CCCGUCACACCAUGAGAGCUGACUGUACCAGAAGUCGCUCGGCUAACCCGCAAGGGAUGCAGGCGCCUAAGGUAUGGUUGGUGAUUGGGGUG